GAUGAACGCUAGCGAUAGGCUUAACACAUGCAAGUCGAGGGGCAUCGAGGGUAGCAAUACCUGUCGGCGACCGGCGCACGGGUGAGUAACGCGUAUGUAACCUGCCCGCAACAGAGGGAUAACCCGGCGAAAGUCGGACUAAUACCUCAUAAAACAGGGGUUCCGCAUGGGGCUAUUUGUUAAAGAUUUAUUGGUUGCGGAUGGGCAUGCGUACCAUUAGGUAGUUGGUGAGGUAACGGCUCACCAAGCCAUCGAUGGUUAGGGGUUCUGAGAGGAAGGUCCCCCACACUGGUACUGAGACACGGACCAGACUCCUACGGGAGGCAGCAGUGAGGAAUAUUGGUCAAUGGGCGAGAGCCUGAACCAGCCAAGUCGCGUGAAGGAUGACUGCCCUAUGGGUUGUAAACUUCUUUUACAGGGGAAUAAAAUGAGAUACGUG
rnacentral:rRNA from 1 species